rnacentral:other from 1 species
GUACCUCUGGGGUAUUCGUUCAUGGCUGGGUAGUACCCUUGAGCCUAAUUGCUUACCCCGGGAAUCUUGCUGCUGGUGUUGGUGUGCAUUACCGUAUUGCACGGGAAGCCUAAAGACAUCGCCGUGGUUCCCACUUGAACCUUCGGUUCAAGGUCGAAAGUCACACCGGUACUUCCGGAGUGUAC